rnacentral:rRNA from 1 species
ACGUAGGGGGCAAGCGUUGUCCGGAUUUACUGGGUGUAAAGGGCGCGUAGGCGGGUUUUCAAAUCAGCGGUGAAAUCCCAUGGCUCAACCUUGGGACUGCGGGAGAUAUUGAUAAGCUAGAGUCUGGAAGAGGUAAGCAGAAUUGCUGGUGUAGGAGUGAAAUCCGUAGAUAUCAGGAAGAAUACUAAAGGCGAAGGCAGCUUACUAGGACAGUUCUGACGUUCAAGCGCGAAAGCGUGGGGAGCAAAUGG